UACAGAGGGGGCAAGCGUUGUUCGGAAUUACUGGGCGUAAAGGGCGCGUAGGCGGCCUGCUAAGUCGAACGUGAAAUCCCUGGGCUCAACCCAGGAACUGCGUCCGAUACUGGUUGGCUUGAAUCCGGGAGAGGGACGUGGAAUUCCAGGUGUAGCGGUGAAAUGCGUAGAUAUCGGGAGGAACACCAGUGGCGAAGGCGGGUUGCUGGGCCGACACUGACGCUGAUGCGCGAAAGCCAGGGGAGCGAACGGGG
rnacentral:rRNA from 1 species